rnacentral:rRNA from 1 species
GAUGAACGCUGGCGGCGUGCUUAACACAUGCAAGUCGAACGAUGAAGCCCAGCUUGCUGGGUGGAUUAGUGGCGAACGGGUGAGUAACACGUGAGUAACCUGCCCUUAACUCUGGGAUAAGCCUGGGAAACUGGGUCUAAUACCGGAUAGGAGCGUCCACCGCAUGGUGGGUGUUGGAAAGAUUUAUCGGUUUUGGAUGGACUCGCGGCCUAUCAGCUUGUUGGUGAGGUAAUGGCUCACCAAGGCGACGACGGGUAGCCGGCCUGAGAGGGUGACCGGCCACCAGGGGACUGAGACACGGCCCAGACUCCUACGGGAGGCAGCAGUGGGGAAUAUUGCACAAUGGGCGCAAGCCUGAUGCAGCGACGCCGCGUGAGGGAUGACGGCCUUCGGGUUGUAAACCUCUUUCAGUAGGGAAGAAGCGAAAGUGACGGUACCUGCAGAAGAAGCACCGGCUAACUACGUG